AGAGUUUGAUCCUGGCUCAGGAUAAACGCUGGCGGCGCACAUAAGACAUGCAAGUCGAACGGACGACGUUAAAUUCUUUACGAUUUUAACGAAGUUAGUGGCGGACUGGUGAGUAACGCGUGAGCAACCUACCUAUAAGAGGGGAACAACAGAGAGAAAUUUCUGCUAAUACCGCAUAAGCUGAUAGGACCGCAUGGUCUAGUCAGAAAAGGAGCAAUCCGCUAAUAGAUGGGCUCGCGUCCGAUUAGCUAGUUGGUGAGAUAACAGCUUACCAAGGCGACGAUCGGUAGCCGGACUGAGAGGUUGAACGGCCACAUUGGGACUGAGAUACGGCCCAGACUCCUACGGGAGGCAGCAGUCGGGAAUAUUGCGCAAUGGAGGAAACUCUGACGCAGUGACGCCGCGUAUAGGAAGAAGGUUUUCGGAUUGUAAACUAUUGUCGUUAGGGAAGAGAAAGGACGGUACCUAAGGAGGAAGCCCCGGCUAACUAUGUGCC
rnacentral:rRNA from 1 species